rnacentral:rRNA from 1 species
GACGAACGCUGGCGGCGUGCCUAAUACAUGCAAGUCGAACGCAUUUUCUUUCACCGUAGCUUGCUACACCGAAAGAAAAUGAGUGGCGAACGGGUGAGUAACACGUGGGUAACCUGCCCAUCAGCGGGGGAUAACACUUGGAAACAGGUGCUAAUACCGCAUAAUUCCAUUUACCGCAUGGUAGAUGGAUGAAAGGCGCUUUUGCGUCACUGAUGGAUGGACCCGCGGUGCAUUAGCUAGUGGGUGGGGUAACGGCCUACCAAGGCUGCGAUGCAUAGCCGACCUGGGAGGGUGAUCGGCCACACUGGGACUGAGACACGGCCCAGACUCCUACGGGAGGCAGCAGUAGGGAAUCUUCGGCAAUGGACACAAGUCUGACCGAGCAACGCCGCGUGAGUGAAGAAGGGUUUCGGGUCGUAAAACUCUGUUGUUAGAGAAGAACAAGGAUGAGAGUGGAAAGUUCAUCCCUUGACGGUAUCUAACCAGAAAGCCACGGCUAACUACGUG